CUCCAGUAAGCCUAGUGGUUAAGGCUAUGGAUCGCCAAUCUAGAGACGGCGGGCUCGAUUCCCGUACCGGACG
rnacentral:tRNA from 1 species